UUCGCAAUGCCCGAAAGGGUGACGAAGCGACGCCGCGUGGGUGAAGAAGGCCUUCGGGUUGUAAAGCCCUGUCAGGAGUUAUGAAAUGAAGGUACGAUAAUACCGUGCUUAUUUGACAAAGGCUCCAAAGGAAGCCACGGCUAACUCUGUGCCAGCAGCCGCGGUAAUACAGAGGUGGCAAGCGUUGUUCGGAAUUAUUGGGCGUAAAGAGCACGUAGGUGGGUUUGUAAGUCAGGUGUGAAAGCCUUCUGUUCAACAGGAGAAUUGCAUCUGAAACUACAAGUCUUGAGUAUAGGAGGGGAGAAUGGAACUUCUGGUGGAGCGGUGAAAUGCGUAGAUAUCAGAAGGAACGCCGUCGGCGAAAGCGAUUCUCUGGCCUAUUACUGACACUCAGUGUGCGAAAGCUAGGGGAGCAAACGGGAUUAGAUACCCCGGUAGUCCUAGCCGUAAACGAUGGGCACUAAGUAGAGGGGUUUU
rnacentral:rRNA from 1 species